AUGGCGAUUAUCUCCGAGGACAUCAUGCAGGAGGACGAUGUUUCGACGCAGCCGCAGCACGCCGUGAAGGAGAACAGCACGGAAGUGGAGAAGAAGGAGAAGGACGAGAGCAAGGGGAGACAGCCAAACUCGGGCAACGGCCUCGACCUGGAGAAGUACUCGUGGGCGCAGCAGCUACCAGAGGUGAACAUCUCCGUCCCCCUCCCUGAAGGAACGAAGGCGAGGUUCGUCGUCUGCGAGAUCAAGAAGGACCACCUCAAGGUCGGACUCAAGGGCCAGCCUCCCAUCAUCGAUGGUGAGCUGCACAAACCAGUUAAGGUCGAGGACUGCUUCUGGAGCAUCGAGGACGGAAGCUUGCUGUCCAUACUGCUGACGAAGCGUAAUCAGAGCGACUGGUGGAAAUCGCUGAUCAAAGGCGAUCCGGAGAUCGACACCCAGCGCGCCGAGCCGGAGAGCAGCAAGCUCUCGGAUCUGGACCCGGAGACCAGGGACGAAGCUCCCUUGUAG
rnacentral:rRNA from 1 species